rnacentral:rRNA from 1 species
GACGAACGCUGGCGGCGUGCUUAACACAUGCAAGUCGAACGGUGAAGCGCUUGCCUUUUUGGUGGGUGUGGAUGAGUGGCGAACGGGUGAGUAACACGUGAGUAACCUGCCCUCUUCUUCUGGAUAACCUCAUGAAAGUGGGGCUAAUACGGGGUAUUCCGGGUCUGUCGCAUGGCGGGUUUGGGAAAGAUUGCGCCUUUGGGUGUUUUCGGUGGGGGAUGGGCUCGCGGCCUAUCAGCUUGUUGGUGGGGUGAUGGCCUACCAAGGCGGUGACGGGUAGCCGGCCUGAGAGGGUGGACGGCCACACUGGGACUGAGACACGGCCCAGACUCCUGCGGGAGGCAGCAGUGGGGAAUAUUGCACAAUGGGCGCAAGCCUGAUGCAGCGACGCCGCGUGAGGGAUGGAGGCCGUCGGGUGGUGAACCUCUUUCGCCAGUGAAGCAGGCCUGCUCCUGUGUGGGUGGGUUGACGGUAGCUGGAUAAGAAGCGCCGGCUAACUACGUG